GACGAACGCUGGCGGCGUGCUUAACACAUGCAAGUCGAACGUGAUUUUUGUGGAAAUUCUUUCGGGACUGGAAAUGAAAUGAAAGUGGCGAACGGGUGAGUCACACGUGAGCAACCUACCUUACACAGGGGGAUAGCCGUUGGAAACGACGAUUAAUACCGCAUGAGACCACAGAAUCGCAUGAUAUAGGGGUCAAAGAUUUAUCGGUGUAAGAAGGGCUCGCGUCUGAUUAGCUAGUUGGAAGGGUAAAGGCCUACCAAGGCGACGAUCAGUAGCCGGUCUGAGAGGAUGAACGGCCACAUUGGAACUGAGACACGGUCCAAACUCCUACGGGAGGCAGCAGUGGGGAAUAUUGCACAAUGGGGGGAACCCUGAUGCAGCGACGCCGCGUGAGCGAAGAAGGUUGUCGAAUCGUAAAGCUCUGUCCUAUGAGAAGAUAAUGACGGUAUCAUAGGAGGAAGCCCCGGCUAAAUACGUG
rnacentral:rRNA from 1 species